rnacentral:rRNA from 1 species
UACAGAGGUCUCAAGCGUUGUUCGGAUUCAUUGGGCGUAAAGGGUGCGUAGGUGGCGCCGUAAGUCGGGUGUGAAAUUUCGGAGCUUAACUCCGAAACUGCAUUCGAUACUGGCGUGCUUGAGGACUGGAGAGGAGACUGGAAUUUACGGUGUAGCAGUGAAAAUGCGUAGAUAUCGUAAGGAAGACCAGUGGCGAAGGCGGGUCUCGUGGACAGUUCC